GACGAACGCUGGCGGCGUGCUUAACACAUGCAAGUCGAACGGUAAGGCCCUUCGGGGUACACGAGUGGCGAACGGGUGAGUAACACGUGGGUGAUCUGCCCUGCACUUCGGGAUAAGCCUGGGAAAAUGGGUCUAAUACCGGAUAGGACCACUGCCUGCAUGGGUGGUGGUGGAAAGCUUGUGCGGUGGGGGAUGGGCCGGCGGCCUAUCAGCUUGUUGGUGGGGUGAUUGCAUACCAAGGCGACGACGGGUAGCCGGCCUGAGAGGGUGACCGGCCACACUGGGACUGAGAUACGGCCCAGACUCCUACGGGAGACAGCAGUGGGGAAUAUUGCACAAUGGGCGCAAGCCUGAUGCAGCGACGCCGCGUGAGGGAUGACGGCCUUCGGGUUGUAAACCUCUUUCAGCACCGACGAAGCGCAAGUGACGGUAGGUGCAGAAGAAGGACCGGCCAACUACGUGCCAGCAGCCGCCGUAA
rnacentral:rRNA from 1 species